rnacentral:rRNA from 1 species
AUGGUUUGUUCGAUCUUGAUCAUAGUGAUACACAUAUUCAUAAUAUUGAAGCCAAAAAGAUGCAAAGUUAAUAAUGAUAGUGCAACUUAUUUGUGGCACUGCCGUUUAGGUCAUGUUGGUGUAAAGCGCAUGAAGAAACUCCAUGCUGAUGGACUUUUGGAAUCACUUGAUUAUGAAUCACUUGAUGCUUGCGAACCAUGCCUCUUGGGCAAGAUGACUAAAACGCCGUUCUCCGGAACAAUGAAGCAAGCAACAGAUUUGUUGGAAAUCAUACAUACUGAUGUAUGUGGUCCGAUGAAUGUUAAGGCUUGCAGCGGGUAUCAUUAUUUUAUGACCUUCACAAAUGAUUUGAGCAGAUAUGGGUAUAUCUACUUAAUGAAAUAG